UACGUAGGGGGCAAGCGUUGUCCGGAAUCAUUGGGCGUAAAGCGCGUGUAGGCGGUCCGGCACGUCCGCUGUGAAAGUCGGGGGCUCAACCCUCGGAUGCCGGUGGAUACUGUCGGGCUUGAGUACGGAAGAGGCGAGUGGAAUUCCUGGUGUAGCGGUGAAAUGCGCAGAUAUCAGGAGGAACACCAAUUGCGAAGGCAGCUCGCUGGGACGUUACUGACGCUGAGACGCGAAAGCGUGGGGAGCAAACAGG
rnacentral:rRNA from 1 species